rnacentral:rRNA from 1 species
GGCCCCGCACAAGCGGUGGAGUAUGUGGUUUAAUUCGAUGCAACGCGAAGAACCUUACCAGGGUUUGACAUCCUGCGAAUCUCUUGGAAACAGGAGAGUGCCUUCGGGAACGCAGUGACAGGUGGUGCAUGGCUGUCGUCAGCUCGUGUCGUGAGAUGUUGGGUUAAGUCCCGCAACGAGCGCAACCCACGUCUUUAGUUGCCAGCAUUUAGUUGGGCACUCUAGAGAGACUGCCGGUGAUAAACCGGAGGAAGGUGUGGAUGAUGUCAAGUCAUCAUGCCCCUUACAUCCUGGGCUACACACGUACUACAAUGCUACGGACAAAGGGCUGCAAGUUCGCGAGGACAAGCAAAUCCCAUAAACCCGUGGCUCAGUUCAGAUCGUAGGCUGCAACUCGCCUACGUGAAGGCGGAAUCGCUAGUAAUCGCAGGU